ensembl:lncRNA
GGUGUGUGGAGACCCACCCCCACUGGAAGGGCCAGAUGCCAUCGUGCCUGUCCUCAAGGAUGACAGAUCCUACCUGCUCUGUGGAUACUGGGCUGAUGAGCCUGAAGCACCAGCCCAGGCCUGGGCUAGGGCCUGGCACUUUACAACCCAGCAACCCCUCUGCUGUGCUGAGGCCAUUGUGGUGGAAGACUCCUCAAACAAAAAGGAGAAAGUCAAGGGGGCAUCCUCAGAUCAGGCUGAGGCUAUGUCCAGGGUGGGUGAAGAUCCACCCCCACUGGAAGGGCCAGAUGUCAUCACACCUAUCCUCAAGGAUGAUGGGUCCUACAUGCUCUGUGGAUUUUGGGCAGAUGAUCCUGAAGCACCAGUCCAGGCCUGUGCUGAGCCCUGGUACCUUACAACCCAGAAGCCCAUUUGCUGUGCUGAAGCCAUUGCGGUGGAAGAGCCCUCCUGCAAAAAGGAGGAAGGGGACUCGGCAUCUGCAGAGCAGGCCGAGGCUAUACCCAUGGUGUGUGGAGACCCACCCCCACUGGAAGGGCCAGAUGCCAUCGUGCCUAUCCUCAAGGAUGACGGAUCCUACCUGCUCUGUGGAUACUGGGCUGAUGAGCCUGAAGCACCAGUCCAGGCCUGGGCUGGAGCCUGGCACUUUACAACCCAGCAGCCCAUCUUCUGUGCUGAGGACACUUUGGUGGAAGAGCCCUCAUUUCAAGAGGAGGAAGGUGUGGUGGCACCUGCAGACCAGGCCGAGGCUAAUCAGAGCCUCUGCUCUGCAUCACACCUCAGGGUGUGUGAAGAUCCACCCCCACUGGAAGGGCCAGAUGUCAUUGUGCCUAUUCUCAAGGAUGAUGGAUCCUACAUGCUCUGUGCAGUUUGGAUGGAUGAUCCUGAAGUGCCGGUCCAGGCCUGGGCUAGGGCCUGGCACCCUACAACCCAGCAACCCAUCUGCUGUGCUGAGGCCAUUGUGGUGAAAGAUGCCACCUACCAAAAAGAGAAAGUCAUGUUGGCAACUGCUGAUUGGGCUGAGGCUACCUCCAGGGUGGGUGGAGAUCCACCACCACUGGAAAGGCCAGAUGCCAUUGUGCCCAUCCUCAAGGAUGAUGGAUCCUACAUGCUCUGUGCAUAUUGGGCUGAUGAGCCUGAAGCCCCAGUCCAGGCCUGGGCUGGGGCCCUGCACCCUACAGCCCAGCAGCCCAUCUGCUGUGCGGAGGCCAUUGUGGUGGAAGAGCCCUCAUCACAAGAGGAGGAAGGGAAGGUGGCACGUGCAGACCAGGCUGAGGCUAAUCAGAGGGUGUGUGGAGAUCCACCCCCACUGGAAGGGCCAGAUGCCAUUGUGCCUAUCCUCAAGGAUGACGGAUCCUACCUGCUCUGUGGAUACUGGGCUGAUGAGCCUGAAGCACCAGCCCAGGUCUGGGCUGAGGCCUGGCAUGCAAAAACCCAGCAGCCCAUCUGCUGUGCUGAGGCUUUUUGGGUGAGUCCUUAGAUGUGAAUCUUGCUGCAGACCUGUCAAAGUGCCCGAGUGGACUCCUAUGACCCAGGCCUGCUUGCUGUUACUCCCCAGGGAAAGGUGGUGAUGUGGCAGGCUGUCCCCUGGGCUAUAUCUGGAUGGACAGAGGCAGAACCCAUGGUGGAGUUUGCAGCACAGUUGUAGUGUGGCUGGUGUGUCUUAGCCUCAUAGUCCCAGGAUAUGCCCCCCUUUCUGACACUGACACUGGCCUUGUUGUGCCUGAAGCACAUG